UACAGAGGGUGCGAGCGUUAAUCGGAAUUACUGGGCGUAAAGCGCGCGUAGGCGGCUUUGCAAGUCGAGUGUGAAAUCCCCAGGCUUAACCUGGGAACUGCAUCCGAUACUGGAUGGCUUGAAUCCGGGAGAGGGAUGCAGAAUUCCAGGUGUAGCGGUGAAAUGCGUAGAUAUCUGGAGGAAUACCGGUGGCGAAGGCGGCAGUCCUGGACCGGCAUUGACGCUGAGGAGCGAA
rnacentral:rRNA from 1 species